CUACGGGCCGCAGCAGUGAGGAAUAUUGCACAAUGGGGGGAACCCUGAUGCAGCAACGCCGCGUGGAGGAUGACGCAUUUCGGUGUGUAAACUCCUUUUAUAUGUCAAGAAAAUGACGGUAGCAUAUGAAUAAGCACCGGCUAACUCCGUGCCAGCAGCCGCGGUAAUACGGAGGGUGCAAGCGUUACUCGGAAUCACUGGGCGUAAAGGACGCGUAGGCGGGUUGGAAAGUCAGGUGUGAAAUCCUACAGCUUAACUGUAGAACUGCACUUGAAACUUCUAAUCUAGAGUAUGGGAGGGGAGAUGGAAUGAGUGGUGUAGGGGUAAAAUCCGUAGAUAUCACUAGGAAUACCUAAAGCGAAGGCGAUCUCCUGGAACAUUACUGACGCUAAGGCGUGAAAGCGUGGGGAGCAAACAGGAUUAGAUACCCGCGUAGUC
rnacentral:rRNA from 1 species